rnacentral:lncRNA from 1 species
UUUUUUCUCUCUUUUCCUCCCCUAUCCCCUAAGAACAAAGUUAAAAACAAUAACAAGUGGCCGGAAUUCGAACAGGCAUUCACGGUCCCGCAAUAACCACAGGGCCAUGGGCUUGCUCAUGUGUUGUCACUGAACGCUCACAGCGAGCCUGGGGGUUAAGCAUUCUUACUCCGUUUGACAGAGAGGGGAGCUGGGGCCCAGUGAGAGCCAGUCCCUGUCUUACCUCCCGCGCCCCUGCCUUUAGAAGGAAAGUAUCUCCAGGGCACUCUUGGGGCAGGACGCCACACUCGCUGGGACCGUCGGGACCCCAGUGCCUUUACCCACGAGCCCGCCGGGGAACCAAGUCCCAAAGCGGGAAAGAGGCGACCUGGAUCUGGGUCCCUUUGUCUCCCCCACAGCCCAGUGCGGGGACUCAGCACACUCAGCUGAAUCCCGAACACCUCAAGGCAGGAGUCUGCACUUCACGCCAGGCCAUUUCUGUCUCUACCGUAAAGUCGUCACGGUCGCCAUAUUGACGUCAGGUUUCUAUGGCAACCAUGCCACGCAGGCUUAUCCUCCACACCGGAAACCCCUCCGCAUGCUCCUCCUCCCCUACGCCUUUAGCUGAACGCAAAACUUCUUCGCUCUUCAGGCUGCGGUCUGAGAAAGCAGGCUAUGAGAGGCGCUAGACUGGAAUCCUGGCAAUUGGAAUGACUUACUCAAGUAGUGAGAUUGGAAGGAGAAACAAAUUACAGAGCCCCGGACCUCUGCCUUCAAAACUCUUGUUGAUAAGUUGCCUUUAUGGAGCACCUGUUCUGCUUUGCCCUCGGAGGUAACUCAUCCCAUUACUCAGAACUGGCACCAAAGCAAAUACAUUAUGGGGAUAUUGCUACAUUUCCAGAUGCUUUCUAUGGCACUUAUGCUCUUUGGUUUAGGGCAGACUGUGAGAAAGGUAUCAUGAGUUCCACGUCACAGAUAACCAAGCUCAGCCUCAUGGAGACUAAGACCCUCACCAGAAAAUGGCAGAAGACUCAUCAUCAUGCCUUCUACUUCUCUUGGAAUUUGUGUUCACUGUGCCACAAGAUGAACUCAGAUACCAAGUUAGUAGGCACUCCUGAUGUGAACUCUCCAGGAGCACCCCAAAAGAGCAUCACGCUUGGCGUUUCAAACGUGGAAACAGCUUCGGACAACUUAACUCCAGGAGACGCAGCCUCUCUAAGAUGAAAGAUUCUCAAACUCAGUUGACGUCUGCAACCAACUUUCAGAAGAAAAGAACAAAGAACAAACUGAAAGAGGGAAGAUCGUGUAGUCCAUUGCCAUUGCCUUUCGGUAUUGAAUAGCUGCCUCCGGCUUUGCUCACAGAACCGUGGAUCUCCACACCAUCUGGCAUACGAGCAGAAAAUACAAAGAUACAG